AUACUUACCUGGCAGGGGAGAUACCAUGAUCACGAAGGUGGCUUUCCCAGGACACAGCUUAUCCAUUGCACUUCGGAUAUGCAGACCCUUAAGAUUUCCCCAAAUGUGGGAAACUCGACUGCAUAAUUUGUGGUAGUGGGGGACUGCGUUCACACUUUUCCCUG
rnacentral:snRNA from 1 species